rnacentral:rRNA from 1 species
UACGUAGGGUGCAAGCGUUGUCCGGAAUUAUUGGGCGUAAAGAGCUCGUAGGCGGUUUGUCGCGUCUGCUGUGAAAUCCCAGGGCUUAACUCUGGGCCUGCAGUGGGUACGGGCAAACUAGAGUGCGGUAGGGGAGAUCGGAAUUCCUGGUGUAGCGGUGAAAUGCGCAGAUAUCAGGAGGAACACCGGUGGCGAAGGCAGGUCUCUGGGCCACUACUGACGCUGAGAAGCGAAAGCAUGGGGAGCGAACAGG